UUAUUUGAUUUUUGGCAUAUUUGUUUAACCUCAAUUCAAGAUUUUUGAUUGUGUUUGGUUGUGCGUGCCGGUUUUUCCUAGUCAUGAGCUGCCAUAACCGGUUUUACUAUUGUGGUAGUGUAUGUGUGGGCUCUCCUAUUCAUGUUCUCGUAUGCUCCGUAUGUGUGUAGCUGCAGUGUUAUUACGAACACUGUGUCACGUUUGGUAAGAUGUGUCGCAGUUGAUGAAGGUGUCGCUGUUGGUUAUUAUUUAUGUUUUUUAGCGUUUGUUUAUUUAGUAUGCGUUAACUUAAUGCGUUAUAUUGUGUGCGAACGUUUAUUAAUUGUUUGUCCUUUAUUUUGAAGUGAUAGCGGAAUACAGUUGAUUGCGUUGGGCUCAACUGUGUAAUUCAUGGUAUGUAAUUGUACAGAACGCGUUUGUAAUAUUUGACCAAGUUGAAAUUUGAUGGAUUGCAACCUGUCAUUAGUUCAGUGUCCAUAGAAGCAUCAUGAUAUUAUAAUUGUAAAUAUUGUAUUGAUUAGUGUAUGGUUCCUGCAUGUCACAAAACAUUCACAAUAAAAAAACACUUCUUACAGCAGAAUAUAGAGGGAAUGUCCAAUACAAAAUGUGCGAUUAUGCCAUACCUACUCAUUCAAAGAGAGCCACAGAAAGAUCAUAGCACAAUACUACUACAUAACAAAAUAUAAUCUUCGCUAGACUUAUGAUAUAGUCCAUUACUUUAAGUCAAAACCUAUAUUGUUUUAAGCUGAUGAGAUAGCUAAAAAUUCAGCAUCCAAUGUGGAAUUUAACACUAGGAAUGGUAUAAUGAUA